GUGAUAUCUGGCAACUCACUCCAUCGGUCUAGCCGAGUAUAAGUUUACAUGUCGAGGAAGCCAAGUUGGACACUGCCUCUUGACUUCUCUCGGUUCGUUCAUACGACCAUGGAGGCGUCUUUUGGAGCUGGGUCCUUCCAGGCCGUCACUUUGGAACUUCCUUGGGUUUCAUCCGUUGAGCUGGCCUGCCCCUGAAGACUUGGCCAAUGGUCCUCUUCAGGGGCAGGCCACCUUUUCUAAGAGAGCCCUACGAAGGGCAGGCUGCCUCCUCGGAAGGACACCCGCUGUCGCCAGGUCGGAAGACGAAAGAAGUUGGUUUCAUAUGUGAAUCCUCUGAAGAUCCAGGGACUAGUACUACCCCCUCUGUGAGUCUCUGAAGAUGAUCACUGAUAGCUAAGACCACUACCUCUACCUCUACCUCUGUGAGGCGUCAGUGUUCAUCUUUGCCGUCUGAGAGGUUCUACUGACUGCGUCUAGCCGUCUACCUUUGCAAGGCCUCUGAGUCGACGGCUACCUUCUCAGGCGGAAUCCUAAAGAAAUCCUUGACUUCACGGUGACAUGGUGAUCCUCGACCCAACUAUUCCAGACAAAAACUGAAUUAUUUUUGUUAUUAUUAUUAAUAUUAUUUUGUUAUAAUUAUUAUUGUUGUUGUUUACAAGACUUCAAUUCUACCCGAUUUUCGUUUAUUGAGACUAGCACCACUGAUUUGAAUUAAGAUUGCAAUUUUGUCAUGUCUCUCAAUGAAAAGAAAGUUGUGGGUUACUUUUCUGUCAUGUCUCUCAUUUGCUGUAAAGUUAAAGAAUGACUUCAUCGUGUUUCUGAUUUAUGAUGCUGUGAUAAUGGUAUUAUUGUCAAUAAUAUCACAUUUAUCAUAAGAGAACUUUUGUACGUACGGAUAAAAAGUAUUAUAGGAUAUUGUAGAUUCUGGUAAACUUAAAGAAUCUUCAGUAGCCUAUACAGCAGCCAUUAUAUUGUGACGUUUUUCAUUUUAAUAAACCAGAUUUGCACUUU